rnacentral:lncRNA from 1 species
CGUGAGUUUUGCCUCUCGGUGUUCUCGGUUUGAGGUGGGUGGGAGACUUUUGACGGUGGCCGUAAGCUCUGGUCCACCCACCUUACAGAAACAUCCUAACCGAAGACUCAGUUCCUUAAACAACCGUGACUUGUUGGACCUCAGUUCUGCCUUUUCUGGCUGUGUCGUCUUAGCUCCAGACAUGGCAGGAGAAACUUCCAGAUGUCAGGGCAGACCGGAUUCCAGCCGUGAGAUGAGAAAUAUUGGCCAGACCAGGGUCUUCCAUCUGCUCUAAAGAAAUGGACCUGAAGGUUCUUCUGAUCUGAAUGAAGUUCCCAUGGAAACCCCUCAGACUGGGAAGCUGAGGCAGGAGAAUGCUAUCUUAGUGUUACUGUUGCUGUAAUGAAACCAUCAUGGCCAAAAGCAAUUUUCUUCGGAUUACACUUCCACGUGAACUCAAACAAGGCAGGAGCUGAGGCAGAGGCCAUGGAGGAGUGCUGCUCACUGGCUUGCUCCCCAUGGCUUGUUCAGCCUGCUUUCUUAAAGAACUCUGGACCACCAG